rnacentral:misc_RNA from 1 species
GAUGAAGAACGCAGCGAAAUGCGAUAAGUAAUGUGAAUUGCAGAAUUCAGUGAAUCAUCGAAUCUUUGAACGCACAUUGCGCCCCUUGGUAUUCCGAGGGGCAUGCCUGUUCGAGCGUCAUUAUAACCCCUCAAGCUCAGCUUGGUGUUGGGGCCUGCUGCACUGGCAGCCCUUAAAAUCAGUGGCGGCGCCAUCUGGUUCUAAGCGUAGUAAUUCUUCUCGCUAUGGAGUCCUGGUGGAUGCUUGCCAUCAACCCCCAAUUUUUCUAUGGUUGACCUCGGAUCAGGUAGGGAUACCCGCUGAACUUAAGCAUAUCAAUAAGCGGAGGA